rnacentral:rRNA from 1 species
CAUGCAAGUCGAGCGCCCGUAGCAAUACGGGAGCGGCAGACGGGAGAGUAACACGUGGGAACGUGCCCUUCAGUUCGGAACAACCCAGGGAAACUUGGGCUAAUACCGGAUACGCCCUUCGGGGGAAAGAUUUAUCGCUGAUGGAGCGGCCCGCGUCUGAUUAGCUAGUUGGUGAGGUAACGGCUCACCAAGGCGACGAUCAGUAGCUGGUCUGAGAGGAUGAUCAGCCUCACUGGGACUGAGACACGGCCCAGACUCCUACGGGAGGCAGCAGUGGGGAAUAUUGGACAAUGGGCGCAAGCCUGAUCCAGCCAUGCCGCGUGAGUGAUGAAGGCCUUAGGGUUGUAAAGCUCUUUCGGCGGGGAAGAUAAUGACGGUACCCGCAUAAGAAGCCCCGGCUAACUUCGUGCCAGCAGCCGCGGUAAUACGAAGGGGGCUAGCGUUGCUCGGAAUCACUGGGCGUAAAGCGCACGUAGGCGGACUCUUAAGUCAGGGGUGAAAUCCUGGAGCUCAACUCCAGAACUGCCUUUGAUACUGGGAGUCUUGAGUUCGGGAGAGGUGAGUGGAACUGCGAGUGUAGAGGUGAAAUUCGUAGAUAUUCGCAAGAACACCAGUGGCGAAGGCGGCUCACUGGCCCGAUACUGACGCUGA